UACGGAGGGGGACUAGCGUUGUUCGGAAUUACUGGGCGUAAAGCGCACGUAGGCGGAUUGUAGACAGGGGGUGAAAUCCCGGGGGCUCAACCUCGGAACUGCCUUUGAUACUGCAAAUCUUGAGUCCGGAAGAGGUGAGUGGAAUUCCUAGUGUAGAGGUGAAAUUCGUAGAUAUUAGGAAGAACACCAGUGGCGAAGGCGGCUCACUGGUCCGGUACUGACGCUGAGGUGCGAAAGCGUGGGGAGCAAACAGGG
rnacentral:rRNA from 1 species